AACAGUAGUUUCGAAAAGGUGGAAAACUUUGUACGAACCAGGCAUACCAGAUGUUUCUAAGUUGAAUGUAUUCUUCAGUCGUCUCUGUCGACUUAGAUACAGAUGGCCAUACAUUAGAAUUUAAUCAUGCGGCCGCAUUUCAUUUACAUUAUUUUCGAUAGGGACGCGACCUGGCAGAAUCGUUAGCACGCCGGGUGAAAUGCUUAGCAGUAUUUCGUCUGCCGCUACGUUCUGAGUACAAAUUACGCUGAGGUCGACUUUGCCUCUCAUCCUUUCGGGGUCGAUUAAAUAAGUACCAGUUACGCACUGGGGUUGAUAUAAUCGACUUAAUCCUUAAUCUGUUUGUCUGUCCUUGUUUGUCCUCUCUGUGUUUAGCCCCUUGUGGGUAGUACAGAAAUAGGUAUUUCAUCUUCCGUUACGUUCAGAUUUCAAAUUCCCCCGAAGUCUACUUUACUUUUCAUCCUUUCGGAGUCAAUUAAAUAAGUACUAGUUACUCACUAGGGCCGACAUAAUCGACUUAUCCAUUUGUCUGUCCUUGUUUGUCCCCUCUAUGUAUAGCUCCCUGUGGACAAUAAAGAAAUAAUUAUUUUCGAUCUCUCUUAUGACGAUUUUGGUAAGUUCUCAGUAUUUUGAAAAGAUCGGUUAUCAUCACUAAAAGUAAACCUUAAAGAUGUUUAAGUUGGAUUGAACUUCGUCACAGUAAUUAUCAACUACUUCCUGUAUCUGAUAGAAAGGUCUCCACUAGUUUUUUCUUAACACCGAAGUAAACCCUGGUUUGCAUAUAAGUUCAAAUAAAGUGAAAGGAAUACUUACAUCUUCUUAAAUAGCUUACUGGUGCUGUAGUACGGUUUUUGUCCAAGGUGUUGUUAUCAAUUUCAGCAAUGAUCGAGAUUCCACGUAGUAUAAGGUUUAUUUAUUUUCAAGUCCGCCUAGAAAAACGCUACGUUGAUAAGUAAAAGCUGUUUCUCUUAUUCAUAACUGGAGAAAUAAACCAGUUAGUGGUUUAGGCUGGAGAAGUCGGCAUGCAUGUAGAAGAAAAUAUUCAAAAAGAAAUAUUAAACAGUCCGCUAUGCCUGCACAUCUGAUGUUGACGGUACUAUGAUGUAUGAGUUUAUGUAUGUUAUUCGUUUCUCUUUUUUUAAUUCAGAAUAAAUAUUGACCGGGUACCUGCUUGGUAGUAAGGUUGUUAAGGAAAACAUAUUUUGUUCCCUCAACGUUCAAUACAAUUUCAGCCAUACAUUCUUCCAGAGCAGGUUGGUUCGCAUCCUUUUGUUCCAUUAAAAAAAAGGUAUGAAGCUGAAAAUGUAUCUCGAGUACUGGAUUUGCAGUAUGUAUGUAUAUAAGAAUGUAUGCAUGUAUAUAUGUUUAUAUGUAUGAACAUAUGUGUGUCUUCAGAAGUAUAACGGCGGUGAAUCGAGGAAAAUUUCGAAGGACAAUAAGUUGAGAUAUUUUGUUACGCCCAGUUACCACAUGGUUACGUCACAUUAUGUGCAGGUUAACUUCAACGCUGCAUAGGCACAUCUGUUUCUCGCCAAGAAAGGCGGGAUGUCCAGCAUGGGUUAGAUUACUUCAUUGCAAACUUUCAAUGUCAAAAGAACUAAAGAAGAGUAGUUAUCUCAUGAUAGUGGGUGUGGUUCUUAUUAAACAAGUGCGAUUGCCUAUAAAAAUAAUAAAGAAAAGAUAGAAAAUAAAAUAAACAAGAAGCCAAAAUGAAAGAAAGAAUAAAUUGAUAAAUGAAUGAAUGAAUGAAAUACCUGAUGUAAUAUUCGUUGUCAAAAAUCUUCGUUAGUGGUUUUCUAGCUGAUGUCUUUUUCUGUUUACGUUAGCAUCUCUAUAAACAACAUGCGUUCGAAAAAUAUCCGACUUAUUUUUUCUGCCAAAACUAAUGCUGCCUGGACAAAAUCUUUUGAAUGGGAGAUGAUGUCAACUUACCUUCGCAUACAUGAAAUUUUUCGCGCCAGUAGGUCACAACAUUUACCGGCUAUUAUGCUUAGAAUACAGACGUGUAAUAUGCGCUUGUCGGAUUUUCGUUUUAACGAAUACACCAAGCAGAUAUAUUGCAUCAAGUUUUACCAAAAGCAUGGUACUACUUAAGCUCAAACCACCCAGAAGAGUCAGCCGGGCUUUGGCGAUGAUUCCAUGGGCAAAUCUUAGAUGAAUGAGUGGUGAACCGCUUCAAACGUGGUCGUACUUCAGUGUAGUAUGAGGUACGCUCAGACCAUCUUCAAGUCAAAACGAGGAGCUGAUUGAGAAGUUUCGGCGAAUAGUCAUGGAAGACCGUUGUGAAGCAGCCCAGAAAAUAGCACACGAAGUGGGAAUAAGCGCAGAGUCAGUGCAUUCCGUUUUAACGGAGGAUUUGUGCAUGCGGAGUGUCGGCGGAAUUUGUCCCCAGAGUGCUGGCGGAGAAGCAGAAGCAACUCCAAAUGAAAAUCGGUCAGUAUUAUGCUGGACUGCAAACUACGACCCAGAUUUCAUGAAGACCAUCAUCAAAGGUGAUGAGACAUAGGUUUAUGGUCUCUGUUCGAUGAGUUCGGUCAUCUUGUCUGAAAAGGAAAAUUCGACAAACGCGCAAUACACGUCUGUAUUCCAAGUGUUAAAGCCGGGAACUGACACGGUUUACCAGUGCCAAAAUUCUCACGCAUGUGCAGGAAGGGUUACGUCACCUUUCUUGCAAUGGAUUUUGUCCAUGCGGCAUUAGUUUUGGCGGGAAACAUUAAGUUGGGUACUUCUUGAUCACAACUUUUUAUUAAACGCUUGAAGAAUUCUUACAUUUUUCAAAGAAUAAACGAUUCUGAAUGUAUCCACUACAAUAGUCAGCCAUUCAUAUUCAUAUUUGCAAGUACCUAAUCAAAAAUCUCUACACAUAGAAUUUUUUUUUAAAUUUUGAAUCACCAAUAUUUUAUUUAUUUUGUCAAUAUAAUCGUCCGUAUAAUGCUGGUAAGUCAUGUUAAACCCAAGGAAGUAUAUAAUAGACUUUAAAACAAAAGAAUAAACUAAAACAAACAAAACCAAAAACUAGAUAUAAGAAAGGAAAGGAAGGAAAAUUAGAUACAAAAUAUUUAGAUGGUUCUUUUGUCAAAACUUUUUGUAACAUUCUUGAAACUUGAAAGAUCAUAUCUGUGGCUGAUUGAUAAUUGAAAAUAAACUGCACUUCAAUCUUGGUGGCCCUUUGAAAACUAUUUUUUAAAUAUUUUCUUGCUCACAAUGGGAGAUUUUGCAUUUAAACAAGUAAUUAUAUCUUCAGUUUAAUAGUUUUAAUAUUUUCUCUCUCUGUCCGGUUAAUGGUUUUUGCCUUCGAACUAAUAAUCGUAAUUUUAUAUGAUAUCUGACGUUCUAGUUAUUUCAUAUCUUUUAAAACUCGUAGUUAAUAUAUUUCAUAAUUCAAUGUUAUUACUACAAUUAUGAUGGCGUCUCUUAUUUCAAGUUUCAUUUCAUAGUCAUCAUACUUUAUUGUCUAGGUAGCAUUUACUAUCAGCUGUUUAUACACACGCACAUAAGAACAUACACAUACGUAUACGGACAUACUCGGGCUAAAUUUUCAGUGAUCUUUGCUAGAAGCAAUACAUAAAAAUUCGUUUUGUUACGUGUACAAAAUAUUUACUCAAAUUGUAGAUAGACAGAGAGAAAUAUAUAUAUAUAUAUACAUAUUCUGUCAAGUCAUAUAUAUAUAUCACCUGACACGUCUUCACUACUUUAUCACUGAAAUUACAUCAAAUAGGGCAGACUAUACUUUUCAGCUCCGUCCUUUGUGUCACAUUAUCAGUACAAGUUCGUAAAUCACAGAAGGCUAGACAACGGAAGCAUAUAACAUUAAUCUAUACUUCAUAUUUGUAUAUAUAUAUAUAUAUAUAUAUAUAUAUAUAUAUAUAUAUAUAUAUAUAUAUAUAUAUGUAUGUAUAUAUAUAUAUAUAUAUAUAUACAUACAUACAUACAAACAUACAUACACACAUACAUAUAUUUGUAUAUAUAUAUAUAUAUGUAUAUAUAUACACAAAUAUAUAAAUAUAUAUGUACGCAUAAAUACAUAUAUAUGUAUAUACAUAUACAUAUAUAUACUUACAUACAUACGCCCGCGCGCGGUGCGUAGGCUAUUUGAGAACAUGACAUUUUUGAGUUAUUAUUUUUAAAUUAAGUUUUUGAUUUAUGUUUCAGACAUAAUAACGC
rnacentral:lncRNA from 1 species